rnacentral:rRNA from 1 species
UACGGAGGGUGCAAGCGUUAUCCGGAUUUAUUGGGUUUAAAGGGUGCGUAGGUGGGGCCCUAAGUCUGGUUUGAAAGCAAGCGGCUUAACCGUUUGAUGUGGCUGGAAACUGGGGUUCUUGAAUUGGUUGGCGGUAGCCGGAACGGGUCAUGUAGCGGUGAAAUGCAUAGAUAUGACCCAGAACACCGAUUGCGAAGGCAGGCUACUACGAUCGUAUUGACACUGAGGCACGAGAGCAUGGGUAGCGAACAGG